AUUGAACGCUGGCGGAAUGCUUUACACAUGCAAGUCGAACGGCAGCACGGACUUCGGUCUGGUGGCGAGUGGCGAACGGGUGAGUAAUGUAUCGGAACGUGCCCAGUCGUGGGGGAUAACGUAGUGAAAAUUACGCUAAUACCGCAUGCGAUCUAUGGAUGAAAGCGGGGGAUCGCAAGACCUCGCGCGAUUGGAGCGGCCGAUAUCAGAUUAGGUAGUUGGUGGGGUAAAGGCCCACCAAGCCAACGAUCUGUAGCUGGUCUGAGAGGACGACCAGCCAAACUGGAACUGAGACCCGGUCCAGACUCCUACGGGAGGCAGCAGUGGGGAAUUUUGGACAAUGGGCGAAAGCCUGAUCCAGCCAUUCCGCGUGCAGGAUGAAGGCCCUCGGGUUGUAAACUGCUUUUGUACAGAACGAAAAGGUUUCUACUAAUACUAGGAGCUCAUGACGGUACUGUAAGAAUAAGCACCGGCUAACUACGUGCCAGCCGCCGCCGUAA
rnacentral:rRNA from 1 species